rnacentral:rRNA from 1 species
CUUCCGGUUUGCCGGCCUCUGCGCUUCAUUGGGUGGGGGUAUUUCAAGUGCUGGCAGCGAUGUCAAAGUUGUUGUCGGUGCGAGGCUCCGGAUCGUUUACUGUGAAAAAAUUAGAGUGUUUAAAGCAGGCAUUUGUUCGCCUUGAAUACAUUAGCAUGGGAUAAUAGAAUAGGACUUUGCUCUUAUUUUGUUGGUUUCUAAGAUUUGUAAAGUAAUGAUUAAUAGAGAUAGUUGGGGGCAUUCAUAUUUAAUUGUCAGAGGUGAAAUUCUUGGAUUUAUGAAAGAUGAACUUCUGCGAAAGCAUUUGUCAAGGAUGUUUUCAUUAAUCAAGAACGAAAGUUAGGGGAUCGAAGAUGAUCAGAUACCGUCGUAGUCUUAACCAUAAACUAUGCCGACCAGGGAUUAGGAGACGUUACUUUAUUGACUCCCCUAGCACCUUGCGAGAAAUCACAAGUCUUUGGGUUCCGGGGGGAGUAUGGUCGCAAGGCUGAAACUUAAAGGAAUUGACGGAAGGGCACCACCAGGAGUGGAGCCUGCGGCUUAAUUUGACUCAACACGGGGAAACUCACCAGGUCCAGACAUAGUAAGGAUUGACAGAUUGAUAGCUCUUUCUUGAUUCUAUGGGUGGUGGUGCAUGGCCGUUCUUAGUUGGUGGAGUGAUUUGUCUGGUUUAUUCCGAUAACGAACGGGACCUCAGCCUGCCAAAUAGUUCCGUUAACCAUCUGUAUGGGUGAAAGCACGGUUGACUUUAUUGUCCCCUGGAUGGUGAAGCGACCGGGUGGGAUCCUUGAUCGGUUGGCGAUUUUUUUUGAACUUCUUAGAGGGACUAUUCUGUGUUUAACGAUUGGAAGUUUGAGGCAAUAACAGGUCUGUGAUGCCCUUAGAUGUCCUGGGCUGCACGCGCGCUACACUGACGAGAUCAACAAGUUUAUCACCUUGGCCGAUAGGUCUGGGUAAUCUUUGGAAAUCUCGUCGUGCUGGGGAUAGACUAUUGCAAUUAUUAGUCUUCAACGAGGAAUUCCUAGUAAGCGCAAGUCAUCAGCUUGCGUUGAUACGUCCCUGCCCUUUGUACACACCGCCCGUCGCUCCUACCGAUUGAAUGAUCCGGUGAAAUCUCCGGAUGAUGGUUCACAUCUGUUGUUUCGGCAGCAGUAGGACCGUCAGAAGCUGAUUAAACCUUA